rnacentral:rRNA from 1 species
GUUGUAACACCAGUUCUCGUACAAUCAUCGAAGUUAAGCAACGUCGAGCCAGGUCAGUACCUAGAUGGGUGACCGCUUGGGAAUACUAGGUACUGUAAG